rnacentral:rRNA from 1 species
GAGUGAUCGUGGCUCAGGACGAACGCUGGCGGCGCGCCUAACACAUGCAAGUCGAACGGAACCUGACGGUCUGAAGUUUUCGGAUGGACGACGGUUUGGUUUAGUGGCGAACGGGUGAGUAACACGUGAGGAACCUGCCCUUCAGUGGGGGACAACAGUUGGAAACGGCUGCUAAUACCGCAUAAGACCACGGUACCGCAUGGUACAGUGAUCAAAGGAUUUAUUCGCUGAAGGAUGGCCUCGCGUCCGAUUAGGUAGUUGGUGAGGUAACGGCCCACCAAGCCGACGAUCGGUAGCCGGACUGAGAGGUUGAUCGGCCACAUUGGGACUGAGACACGGCCCAGACUCCUACGGGAGGCAGCAGUGGGGAAUAUUGCACAAUGGAGGAAACUCUGAUGCAGCGACGCCGCGUGAGGGAAGAAGGUCUUCGGGUUGUAAACCUCUGUCUUUGGGGACGAUAAUGACGGUACCCGAGGAGGAAGCCACGGCUAACUACGUGCCAGCAGCCGCGGUAA